rnacentral:misc_RNA from 1 species
GCACGUCCAAGCACCCAGCGGCUGCUGUAGUUCUAUAUUCUUCACUUUAUCUUCUCUUUAAACCAAAUCCCAUCUCUUAUUCAAUUUCUUUUAUCUUAUCUUCCUCCCUCUCUGGCCGUUGCCGAUCGCCAGCAGUUUCACUUUCUGCUGCAACCUCCGACAACUCUGAAUCGGCCGGAAUCUAACUGGGAAUUCCAAGCACAGGGUAAGAGAUUUCAGCACCAAUGGCUUUUAGAAGCGUCUCGUUCCCAUCUACAGCUCCCAUUUCUCAUGUUCAAAGAUUCAAAGACUUGCAGUCUUUUGGUGGAAUCAACUACGUUAAACCAUACACGUCAACUGGGCUUGUUUCUGAGUUACCCUCACACUGCAAAGCUAGUAAACUAUUUUUG